UAGUACAUAUUAACACAUUCUGUGGAAAGAGAGACAGACAAAAGGAGAAAGACAGAGGGAGCUCAUAAUUUUUUGGGUGUGCAGGCCAAUCUCUCAGGCUGGAGGUUGGGAUGACAGAGCUAUAAGGAAACAUCUGGCCUCUGCAUGUGGCAGAUACGACGGCCCCUAUCUGCACGGCCCUCGGCCUACGCUCACCAGCCAAAAGAGCCCACAGAGAGCAUUAAUUCUUCCCACACUGAUAUGGCUGUUUGGAUGCCUUAAGAAGACACAUCACGAGGAGUGUGGGGGAAGAGCGUGCAUUUGAGGGAACCGUUUGAUUUCGAAGGGUUUCUCGAGGACAGCUUGAAAACGUGGCUCAAGGAAUGGAAAACAACAUUCUAUGCUGUACUUUUCCAUUUGAACGGUGCUGUUUUUUCCAGUUCUGCCCAAGCACUGGAGGUCGGAGAAGUUUGAUGGGUGUGAAAGAAUGAGACGUCUGCGUUGUAUUUCUAAUGUGUAUUGUUGCAUGCUUAAUGCGUAGCUGAGGGAGCGAUUUCUCCUCCGUCACCCCUGCUGUGACAAGCAGAGAGUUUCAACGCCCGUAUCUGCCUGAUGUGAGCUCAACUGAGCGAAAGGAAAACAGCAACGGUAUCUGCGAUUCAUCUGGGUCUGGGGUGAGGUCAGCUGCAAGACGACCCUCUUGCUGUGAUAGGGUCGCAUGUUUGAACACAACCAGGGAACAUGGAAGGCUGAGAGAAAAUCAAAUCUUCCUGAUUGGGAUUUACAGCUUCAACAGUAGACCCUAAAAUAUAGCCCAGGCUUCGAGAACAUGAUCAGCCCAAAUGAACUUCACUCCUGCACCGGCAAACCCACGGCGAAAGGCGCAAGCCAGGACCGGAGCGAUGACCCAACUGCCGCCACCGGUCUUCGAGAUCCUAACCAGGAACCGUUUUGCCGCCCUCUGCGAGACAGAAUGCAACGCUGUGGUCAUCGGAGACUCAAUCGUCAGGAACGUACGCGCUUCUUCCACUAAAGGUAAGGUGCGCACUCAUUGUUUUCCUGGCGCCCGUGUUCUUGAUGUCUCUGCGCAGGUACCUGCGAUCCUGAAGGACGACGCUAACAUCGGAGCUGUCGUGCUGCACGCGGGGGUGAACGACGUCAGGAUGCGGCAGUUGGAGAUCCUGAAGAGGGACUUUCCUGAUCGAGACGGUACGCAUCGCCCACGGCGAGGAUCAUCGUAUCAGGGCCGCUUUCUACCUACCGACGAGGGAAUGAAAAGUUCAGUAGACUAUUUGCGCUAAAUAAAUGGUUGAUGUCAUGGUGUAUUGAACAGAAGCUACUCUUUGUUAAUAAUUUUGAUCUGUUCUGGGAGCGACCUAGGCUCUUCCGCCCCGACGGCCUGCACCCCAGCAGCAUCGGAGCGGAUCUUCUGUCUGACAACAUCUCAAAGACACUAUGCACCGUUUGACUAAGUCUCCCACCGGUGCAGAGGGGCUCUACAGUCAGUCCUGAUGUCCUUAACCUGUCCUCCAUCAACUCCUCUCGACAACGGAGCCUUGAAUCUUGAAAUAUGCCCUUCCACCCACAACUCACUGGAGCAAAGUCCUGAGGAUUAUCACCUUUUUCCUGGUUGCAUGAAGGUCAUUCUGAAUGGCCCUUGUGGGAAAGCGGGAAAAAUGUAACCGAGUUCCCCUGUCAUUUCCAUUCCCUAAAUCAAUUCUGGACGAGGUGCCUUGGAAUUUGAGCAUGCUUGCAUCUCUGGGGCUAGGAAAGACCAGAUCUGCCGCAGGCAUGUUGUUAAAGACUGCAGGGGAGAGGAACGGAAUGCACAUGUACUGUAUAUGAAAGCCAUAAUCUAGUAGCUUCGACCUUGUGUUGUCUGCAAGGGCACCGUUGUGAAAGGUCACUUUCACUGCGAGCCAGCAGUCACCACUCCUUUAACUGUCUGGAUUUUCUUUAUUUAAUAACAUAACAUUUAUUGCAUCUUGCACUGACAGACAUUAUGAAAUAAAUUAACUGAGAACACAAAAGCUGAUUGGCAAAGUACAAACCACAAAAAGUGGUUCAGACAAUCUAUUACACCCAAAGAUUAUAUACUAUGUUGACAAAUAAUUAUUUGUUCAUCAAAGUUCGAGGGCUGUGCCAUCCUGCAACUGGCAUUGCCAUUAAUUCUCUAUAUGUAAACUACCAGAAACAUAUAUUUAUUUUGCUUCUGAAUGUCAUGACAUCAGCUGUGAGCAGUGAAAUGUCCAUGCCAUCAAAUGGCUUUGCUGCUAUCUACAGACCACCAGAGAAGGCUGGGAAAAGAUACCCUCUGAAUGUACAAUACAUAAAUAUUUAAAUCUAUUAUUCACUGUUUAUUUAAGCGCUAACAGUAGAAUGUUUAUAAAAAACGAGAAACGACAUAUGGGAUUACGACAACAUAUGGGAAAAAUAUUUCUGCGAGGAGAGAAUAGUACUAUGAAAGAGAACAACUGAGUCACAGAUCUUAUUUAAAUACACGAGUCAUUUAGUUUUAGUCCAUUUCUUUCAACAAGAAUGCCAGACUAAACGCACAGCACAUAACAUCCUAUAUACAUCCAUCAUGCUCGUUCUGAGAAACAGGAAAUCACAGACUCAUUUAAUUUCAGUUUCAGGUUUCUCUUAAAUGCCUUUAAUACGCUCCAUUGCAAAUUUAUUUGAAAGAUGAAAGUACUGUACUACCCUUGAUCAUCUUACAUAACAUGCGUUUGCACAAAAUUAUUCUGUGGCUGCGAUUUAAAAGCGGUCUUCAAAGUAUAUGUGGCAUAGUAAAACAAUCCAUUCACUUAAAAAAUGCAAAGUAAAUAGCAACAAGUAAAUAAUAAUGUACAGAACAUUACUGCAGUACAGCCCGGCAUGCAGAGGAAAAAUGCCUUCAAACGAGAAGGCUAAAAUCCUUUUCACGGAGGACCAAAAUGCCACCAAAUUAAUUAAACAUGGACAGGUCAGAACGCACAGCAAUCUGUCCCUUUUCUCCCCAUCCUGUUGGAGAGACAUUUGGGAGUCUUCGAGCAUGAAAUUAAACAUCGUGGACACCCCCUAUUGAAUAUCUUCUUUUCUCUGGGAAAGUCAAGAAGACUAAAGCAUGAAAAAGCCAAAAGAAUUAACUGUCACAGUCAGCUCGUCUCUUUGGAAAUGACCACAUUGGUUACACUGAUUAAAAACAGAUUCUGUUUUAUCACGAGUCCUUGUUUUGGAUGGUAGCUGAACAUUACACAUAACAAUACUGUUUGCGCUUGAGCUUAGUGGGUUCUUGUCUUGUCAAAUUAUGUGCACGCAUUUCUUUUAUUCACUGUAUAUAGUGGGAGUGUGUUUUACUGCUGAUAAUUAAA